rnacentral:rRNA from 1 species
CCCGCUGAACUUAAGCAUAUCAAUAAGCGGAGGAAAAGAAACUAACAAGGAUUCCCCUAGUAACUGCGAGUGAAGCGGGAAAAGCUCAAAUUUAAAAUCUGGUGGUCUUUGGCUGCCCGAGUUGUAAUCUAGAGAAGUGUUAUCCGCGCUGGACCGUGUACAAGUCUCCUGGAAUGGAGCGUCAUAGAGGGUGAGAAUCCCGUCUUUGACACGGACUACCAGGGCUUUGUGAUGCGCUCUCAAAGAGUCGAGUUGUUUGGGAAUGCAGCUCAAAAUGGGUGGUAAAUUCCAUCUAAAGCUAAAUAUUGGCGAGAGACCGAUAGCGAACAAGUACCGUGAGGGAAAGAUGAAAAGAACUUUGGAAAGAGAGUUAAACAGUACGUGAAAUUGUUGAAAGGGAAACGCUUGAAGUCAGUCACGUCGGCCAGGGAUCAACCUUGCUUUUCUGCUUGGUGUACUUUCUGGUUGAUGGGUCAGCAUCAAUUUUGACCAGUGGAGAAAGGUCAGGGGAAUGUGGCAUCUUCGGAUGUGUUAUAGCCCUUGGUUGCAUACAUUGGUUGGGAUUGAGGAACUCAGCACGCCGCAAGGCCGGGUAACUAUUACCACGAUCGUGCUUAGGAUGCUGGCAUAAUGGCUUUAAUCGACCCGUCUUGAAACACGG